CUACGGGUGGCUGCAGUCAGGAAUACUUUACAAUGCACGCAAGUGUGAUAGGGGGAUUCCGAGUGCCUUGCCUCUGGUAAGGCUUUUGUUGAGUGUAAGUAACUCGACGAAUAAGUGGUGGGUAAUACCGGUGCCAGCCGCCGCGGUAAUACCGGAGCCACAAGUGGUGACCACGUUUAUUGGGUCUAAAGCGUUCGUAGCCGGCUAAGUAAGUUUCUUGUGAAAUUGUUGGGCUUAACCUAACAUCGGGCAAGAAAUACUACUUGGCUUGAGACCGGGAGGAGUUAGAGGUAUUCUGGGGGGAGCGGUAGAAUGUUAUAAGCCCUGGAGGACCGCCGAUGGCGAAGGCAUCUAACUAGAACGGGUCUGACGGUGAGGAACGAAGGCUAGGAGAACGAGAAGGAUUAGAUACCCGCGUAGUC
rnacentral:rRNA from 1 species